GUGAAACUGACUAUUGUUUGUGAUGACGUGUAAAAGAAACCUGAGUUUUACUACUGCCGUGAGUAAUAGGGCUUUGCAACCAGCAGCAAGCCCACUGAGCAUAAAUGAUUUAAUGAAACAGCUGAUCUCCGGUCAGAACGCUUUGUCUUGUCAGCUUGAGGGUUUGAUGGAGAAGCAAGCUGCAAACACUGUUCUUCUCGAAGAUGCUAUCCAGCGUCUCUGUGCUCUUGAGCGAAUGUUUGACGAGCAAAGACCGCAAGAGGAAUAAAAAAAAGACCGCGGGAAGAGCCAUUACAUAAAAGGAUAAAGAGGGCACACAACGUGGGCAUUGCGGAAGGCGCCUUCACAAUUCGGAAAACAACCCACAUAAAUAUGAUCCACAAACUGGAAUAAGUUCGCCUCAUAACCAAGCAGUCAUGACUUAUGUGCUAGAGGAAUUGAAAACAACUUUUGCCGAUGCAGACCCUGGGUGUAUACAAGCGUGUUGCAAGACAUACUUUGAAACACUUCGGAGAAAGUACAAUUUGUCUCAGCCAGAAAAGUCCCAGCUAAGAGAUGCCAUUAAAACAGGAGCUAAAAACCGACAAAGGAAAAGACGGGUCUAAGGUUGUUCAAACCGAUGCAGAGAGAGAGCUUUGGCAGACUGCAACAGUAGAGCUGAUGUCUGACGAGGAGGAUGCCAUUGUUGAUGGAAGGCCAGCGUGGAUUGUGAGGUCUCCAUCUCACAGCUCCAGCGCAGAUUGGAGGCAGACAUGCACUAUACUAUUUUGCAUCAUCAGCGUGUUAAUAAAAAGAAAUUCUGAAUCCA